rnacentral:lncRNA from 1 species
ACAAAUGAAUCAUGAAGAGAGAGAGAAAUAAACGUUUAUUGUCGAAACAGUGUUCCGAGCGUUGUCCGGUAUCACCCUGAGGUGGGAGGGCUUCUAAGUCCAGGAACACUCUGGCUUCGACUGCACUCUUGGCCAUGGCGACGAGUUCUCGUUGGUCUUCCAGGUUUUCGAGAGCGAGUUUGGCCUCCCACGUUUCGGUUAGGUGGUCGUCGUUCGUC